UGGGGAAUUUUGCACAAUGGGGGAAACCCUGAUGCAGCGACGCCGCGUGAUUUAGAAGGCCUUCGGGUUGUAAAAAUCUUUUCUAUGGGAAGAAAAUGACAGUACCAUAGGAAUAAGGACCGGCUAAUUACGUGCCAGCAGCCGCGGUAAUACGUAAGGUCCGAGCGUUGUCCGGAAUCAUUGGGCGUAAAGGGUACGUAGGCGGGUAAGCGAGUUAGAAGUGAAAUCCUAUAGCUCAACUAUAGUAAGCUUUUAAAACUGCUCAUCUUGAGGUAUGGAAGGGAAAGUGGAAUUCCUAGUGUAGCGGUGAAAUGCGCAGAUAGUAGGAGGAAGACCGGUGGCGGAGGCGACUUUCUGGCCAUACCCUGACGCUGAGGUACGAAAGCGUGGGUAGCAAACAGG
rnacentral:rRNA from 1 species